rnacentral:SRP_RNA from 1 species
GAUCCAGUCCUGUGCGACGAAAGUCCAUAAAACCCCGCCAGGCCCGGAAGGGAGCAGCGGUAUAUGGCCUUUCUGGUGCAGCAGGAGCGCUGGGUCCCC